rnacentral:rRNA from 1 species
CUGGCUCAGGAUGAACGCUGGCGGCGUGCUUAACACAUGCAAGUCGAACGAUGAUCCCAGCUUGCUGGGGGAUUAGUGGCGAACGGGUGAGUAACACGUGAGUAACCUGCCCUUGACUCUGGGAUAAGCCUGGGAAACUGGGUCUAAUACCGGAUACGACCAUCUGGCGCAUGUCAUGGUGGUGGAAAGCUUUUGUGGUUUUGGAUGGACUCGCGGCCUAUCAGCUUGUUGGUGGGGUAAUGGCCUACCAAGGCGACGACGGGUAGCCGGCCUGAGAGGGUGACCGGCCACACUGGGACUGAGACACGGCCCAGACUCCUACGGGAGGCAGCAGUGGGGAAUAUUGCACAAUGGGCGCAAGCCUGAUGCAGCGACGCCGCGUGAGGGAUGACGGCCUUCGGGUUGUAAACCUCUUUCAGUAGGGAAGAAG